GACGAACGCUGGCGGCGUGCUUAACACAUGCAAGUCGAACGAUGAACCCGGAGCUUGCUCUGGGGGAUUAGUGGCGAACGGGUGAGUAACACGUGAGUAACCUGCCCUGGACUCUGGGAUAAGCGUUGGAAACGACGUCUAAUACCGGAUAGGACCUUGGAUCGCAUGAUCUGGGGUGGAAAGUUUUUUCGGUCUGGGAUGGACUCGCGGCCUAUCAGCUUGUUGGUGAGGUAAUGGCUCACCAAGGCGUCGACGGGUAGCCGGCCUGAGAGGGUGACCGGCCACACUGGGACUGAGACACGGCCCAGACUCCUACGGGAGGCAGCAGGGGGGAAUAUUGCACAAUGGGCGAAAGCCUGAUGCAGCAACGCCGCGUGCGGGAGGACGGCCUUCGGGUUGUAAACCGCUUUUAGUAGGGAAGAAGGGCUUCGGCUUGACGGUACCUGCAGAAAAAGGACCGGCUAACUACGUG
rnacentral:rRNA from 1 species